GUGUCCUCUGCCCAGGGCAAGGAGCAGAUGAAGGGCUACAAGGACCAGGGCUCUUUCCCUCUGUCCCCCAUUCCCCCAGGAGGCUCUCUGGAAAGGUUUUUGGAAUGAAGGAAAACAUGAGUCCAGGACAGGCAGAAGCUGCAAUGCAGUGGGCCCCAGGCCAGCAACACAACUCUUAUCCAACCAAGGAGCAGUAUGCAAGAAGAAGCUAGGAGUGGAGGACCCUGCCAAGAGAAGCCUCGAAUGCCAAGCUCGGAUUAUGGUGCUGUGGGACUAGUGGAGAAGGAAGGCACUGCCUACCUCAAGAGAGUGCGGUUUGGAGCCCUUCUGCCAAGGGUGCCAGAGGAGCCGUUCCCCAGAUCUGUCAUCUUCUCUGUGAGAAAAGUACUAGGUCUAGGCUGAAAUGCACUCUACCAGUCAACAAAUACACCGACAGAUGCCUCAUCUGUGUACAAAUCAGAUCCUCCUUCAACACACUCGGGUCCUCCAGGGAAUGAGACCAAGAGGUAGGUGAGAUUUAAAUACUGUCGCUUUUGCGGAGAGGGAAACUAAGGCCAGGCGUGGCAGUGACUCGCCACGGAAGGUGCAGGGCCAUCCCUCCCGAGUGCCAGAGCCCAGAGCA